GGCCCUGUCCAUCUUCCAAUGCACCCCUCAUGCUGUGCAGGAGGUCACAGUCACGGUCACGGGCACAGAGCCACGUGAAGGGAGCUGCUCGAGCGCCCCGGAGCCUCACCUGGGAGGAGACGCAAGAAGUCUCCCGGUGCGGGAGCCUACAGGGCUGAGCGCGGAGACCGCUACGCCCCAACGCGGGCUCAAGCCCAGCGGGUAAGCGGGGCGGGGCGGCGAGCGGGAGGGAGGCCAGGCAGAGAUGUGCAGGAUGCUCCAGAGAAACGUCGCUCAGUUGGAGUGCAGUGGCACAAUUACGGCAUCAACCUCCGGGGCUCAAGUGAUCCUCCUGCCUCAGCCUCCCAAGUAGCUGGGAUCACAGGUGUGCACCACCAUGCCUGGCUAAUCUAUGAGAUAGUUGACUGCUGAGGAAUAAGCCCUACGCCACUUAAGGAAGUAAGAAAUACUGUGAUGUGUAAAGAAAUGACAACAUUAUGCCAAUCAAGAAGAGAAAUAAGGCCUUUUAUUUCCAAAAAUGUCCUCAGAACAGAAGCUGAAUAACUGGUCAUUUUCCUUUCAGGUUCUUGAUUGAUUUAAAAUUUUUUCCAUGAUAAAAUAAAUUAGGAGAAACUUCCAUCACUAAGUGAUUUGAAAUAAACAGAAUUCAUUAUGCUACUCAAGUAUCUGGCAAAUUUGUAGCAAACUCCAAAUUCAUUUUUCAAAUAUGUCUAAGAAGACAUGCCAGAGAUGGCCUUAGUUGUACCACAGUUGUGCCGGAAGGACAAGAAGACCAGCUAAGAUUGGAGCAGGGACACAUUCCUCCAAGUUCCCAGAUGAAACCAGUGCCACUAAAAAGAGAAUCUCUGGGUGAGGGCUUCCCGUUUCGAGAGUGCUUUAAACAUUCAUCAAGAGACCAACAGAAUCUAUAAGGGAGUUGUGUGCUUUAUAAAUGCUGGGGGUGCUUUAUGGAUGAGUCGUAUUAAAG
rnacentral:lncRNA from 10 species